UGGGGGGUGGGAGCAGCCAGCUUCGGCAGCUGGUUUAAGGCCACAUGAUGUAUCUAUAGCAGAGCUACACUAGAGACAGAGAAGCCCCUCUAAUCCUUCACAUUUUCCUUAGGAAAAUCUGAUUUGGGGGAGGUGGAGCAGGGCUUCUGAUGCCCAGAGCGGUCCAGGGUGGGUCCCUCAGCCGCUGGCAGGUUGGCUCUGUGUCCCAUGGGAGUCUGAGAAGGAGAACUUGAGAUAGCAGCAGGGAGUGCGGGAGAGCGGAUGCAAAGCCAAGCCCAGAGGCAGGAGCAGGGACUAGAGGGGGCUCUUCUGGACCUUCAUUCCAUGGACCCCAGCCAGGUGACCUCAUCCAGAUCUCUCCCAUCUCUUCUGGCUCAAUCACAACACAAGAGAAAUAACCACAAGAAACCCUAGGUCACCGAUUCUCAAUUGACAUGACUUAUAAAACACAGGAGAGAAGUGAAUGCCGCAGGAAAAUGAGAAAGUGCCAAAGAGAACGCAAGAGAAAACGGAAAGUACCUACAUUCACUCUGCACCCUCAGAGACUGCCCGUUCCAGCAAUGCUGAAAGGAACCAGAGGAAGCGGCGUGGAAGCCUGGCAUGGGAGAUAUGUAAGGAAGGUUGCCACAGGCAGGAACCUAUCCAGUGUGCCUACUCACUCAACAACCGGUUACACCUACCUGCCUCAUGCUCUUCACAGAGGUCUUAAGAAGCAGGGAAUAAGAAGUCAACAUGCUGGUAGGUGUUUACCAGGCAUCUUUGGACAGCAGUUCCCAGCCUCCCCAUCGGUCAGCCAAGGCCUCCAGGAACAUCGUCUCUGGUCUAAGUGAAAGCCAAUGAGAUGUUUCGCAUGGAAGCAUUGUGGUGGGGCAAUGAGACGUACCAGCCCAGGAUGAGGUAUGUAGAAGAGCUUAGGAAGAGCCUGUGGAGAGAAAGAAAGUAUGACUGUGUGAACACAAGCUGAAUGUCUCCAUCAUUAAUUGCUGAGCCCACUGCUGAGCAGACUUGAUGCAUUUUCAAAAUACCAUUCUCUGCGUGGAUGUUUAAGCUGGAACUCGAUGAGAUCAAAAAACACUUCAGUUCAGCUUCAGAGAGUCUGAUUUCAUUGGUCUGGGAAGGAACCUGGCAAUGGUGUUCUUAAAACGCUCCCCUGGUGAUUCCAGCAUGCUGUCAGGACUGAGAAUCACCGGGGUAUAAUCCAACCUGAGUUCUUCACUUUACAGGGAGAGAGAAGACGUUGAACAUGAGCCUGUGGUCAAAACCAAACACCAGCUUCCGACCUACCCCUUCCUUCUCUGGAAGCUCUGUGAGCCUGUGACUCCCUGCUGCCCACUUUCUGUUUCCCAAGUGACUUGGGUUCCACUUUUGUUUUAAUUGAUAAAAUGUCCCUUCUGGAAUGUCA